UCCUGAGACAAGAGAACAUUCAUCAGAGGAAGAGCCAUGGCCUUCAAAAUGCAGAUAUCUACCACUUCAGCCUGUUGAGGGGGGCUCAGUUCUGUGUGGCCUAAAUGCCAUUCAACGAGCCAGGUUACCACCACGGAAGCCUGCCUUCUCUCUGGAAUCUCUAGAAAGCAGGGAACUGCUGGGACCUCCUUUUACUAGGUCAGAGGUGCCCUUUCAGCAAACAUCUGUGAAUAAAUGUCCUGCACAGACCAGGAAUUUAAUGCUGACACCUCACGUGGAAGAAAGUACCUGUAAAUGUCUAUCUCAGAUGGACAAUGCUGCUCAUCCCCAUCCCUCUCUCACUUGUGCUUCUCUCCCUCCAUGGACACAGGACAUGCACCGAGCUGGACAGGGGCCAGAGCUGUGGUGUCCUGCAUCUUUCAUGUCCCACAUGAAAGCUGGCUCAGAAGAGAGAGGAAGUCAGCCUGUGAAUGGUCACAAAGGAGCCCAUUCCCAAGACUCUCAACAGAAUUCUGUGAAGUUGUCACCAAACUUGCAGCCACAUUUGCUGUCACCUGAAGACUUGAUGGGAAGAGGGAGUCACCAGACUGCAGGUACAUCCUCAGAUCCAAACUGCAGCAGUUGCUCAUCCUCCUCUCCAAUCUAUAUGAGACUGCAAGUCACUGCCACAAAAUGCAUGGGAGACGGGGCAAUCUUGUGUGCCAGCAUCAGGAGGUAAAAGGGUACCAGUACUCCUUUCUGGGAAGGUAACUGCAGUUGUAUGGAUUCUGCUGAGUCUAGGGGCUAAAGCCCUGCUCUAGGCAUUGAAGGAUGGGAACUGCUUGAACAUUCUUAUAGCAA
rnacentral:lncRNA from 1 species